rnacentral:rRNA from 1 species
UACGUAGGGUGCGAGCGUUAAUCGGAAUUACUGGGCGUAAAGCGUGCGCAGGCGGUUUUGUAAGCCAGAUGUGAAAGCCCCGGGCUUAACCUGGGAAUGGCAUUUGGGACUGCAAGGCUUGAGUGCGGCAGAGGAGACUGGAAUUCCUGGUGUAGCAGUGAAAUGCGUAGAGAUGUGGAGGAACACCGAUGGCGAAGGCAGCCCCCUGGGCCAAUACUGACGCUCAUGCACGAAAGCGUGGGGAGCAAACAGG